rnacentral:rRNA from 1 species
CAGUCGCCGCGGGAACACGAAGGGGGCUAGCGUUGUUCGGAUUUACUGGGCGUAAAGCGCACGUAGGCGGAUCGAUCAGUCAGGGGUGAAAUCCCAGAGCUCAACUCUGGAACUGCCUUUGAUACUGUCGAUCUGGAGUAUAGAAGAGGUGAGUGGAAUUCCGAGUGUGGAGGUGAAAUUCGUAGAUAUUCGGAGGAACACCAGUGGCGAAGGCGGCUCACUGGUCCAUUACUGACGCUGAGGUGCGAAAGCGUGGGGAGCAAACAGGAUUAGAGACCCGUGUAGUCCCUGUCUCUUAUAA